GGGGGAAUAUUGCACAAUGGAGGGAACUCUGAUGCAGCGACGCCGCGUGAACGAAGAAGGCUUUCGAGUCGUAAAGUUCUUUUAUAUGGGAAGAUAAUGACGGUACCAUAAGAAAAAGCCCCGGCUAACUACGUGCCAGAAGCCGCGGUAAUACGUAGGGGGCUAGCGUUGUCCGGAAUCACUGGGCGUAAAGGGUUCGCAGGCGGAAAUGCAAGUCAGGUGUAAAAGGCAGUAGCUUAACUACUGUAAGCAUUUGAAACUGCAUAUCUUGAGAAGAGUAGAGGUAAGUGGAAUUUUUAGUGUAGCGGUGAAAUGCGUAGAUAUUAAAAAGAAUACCGGUGGCGAAGGCGACUUACUGGGCUCAUUCUGACGCUGAGGAACGAAAGCGUGGGUAGCAAACAGG
rnacentral:rRNA from 1 species